CACGCCCUAAACGAUGUCAACUGGUUGUUGGGAAUUUACUUUCUCAGUAACGAAGCUAACGCGUGAAGUUGACCGCCUGGGGAGUNACGCGAAAAACCUUACCCACCUUUGACAUGUAUGGAAGAUCGCAGAGACGCGAUUGUGCUCGAAAGAGAACCGUAACACAGGUGC
rnacentral:rRNA from 1 species